rnacentral:rRNA from 1 species
UGCGUAGGCGGAAUAAUAAGUCAGUAGUGAAAUCCUGCAGCUCAACUGUAGAACUGUUAUUGAUACUGGUUUUCUUGAAUGUAGUUGAGGUAGGCGGAAUGUGUAAUGUAGCGGUGAAAUGCUUAGAUAUUACACAGAACACCGAUUGCGAAGGCAGCUUACUAAGCUACGAUUGACGCUGAGGUACGAAAGCGUGGGGAGCGAACAGGAUUAGAUACCCUGGUAGUCC